rnacentral:misc_RNA from 1 species
AUUUUUCUUUAACACCUGAAGGUCUGUUUGCUUUUUACCUAUCUGAUAGUUACUUCAGUUAUUUCUUACGAGAUUCAUAUUCGUAUGAAAAUUCGACCAUUGAAAGCAUUCAACCAACUGCUAACGGUACUCUUGUAGUGUAUGCAUUAAAUGCAGUAGGCCAGAAGUUCACUUUCCCUUUUGCAGAUUUUUCUAUUUUUUCAAAUACAGCAAAAAUAAAAUUCGAUCCCGAUGGGCAUCUCAGACUUUAUGCUGAUAAUUCUGAGUCGGUUGAUCUGUUGGGAGAUCAUUUAAGUGAAUGUGAUUAUCCAAUGUCUUGUGGUAAUUACGGCCUCUGUUCAAAUGGAGAGUGUUCGUGCCCCGCAGGCUUUUUUCAAGAUAAUGCCCAAGGCAAUUUCAGAUGCAAGGAGAUUAAUCCAACCACAUGUGAAAAUCCCGUAUCCCACUCACUUCUUCCCCUCGAAGGUGUCUAUUAUUUCACUAGAAAAGCUGGAAUUGUGAAUGAAACAAACAUGGAGAACUGUAAACAGACGUGCUUGAAAAACUGUUCAUGCAAAGUUGCUCUGUUUCAGUACGAAGACAAUUCUUCAUAUGGGGAAUGUCUCUUGCCUUCACCAGUUCUUUUACUUAAAAAUGGAACGAAAGACGACAAUAAUUUGAAGUCAUUUGCUUUUAUCAAAAUUUCAAAUGAUAGUGGGAGUGAAAGAGGUUCUGAUACAAAUUCAAAUCCUGGAGACCAUGGAAGACGUGUUGAUGGAAUUUUGACUAUCGGAGAACAUGGAAAAGGAUCUCCGACAACAAAAAUUAUCGCAGGAUUAACCACAGCAACCUUUCUUCUGGUAGGUCUGAUUGCUGGCUUAUCUUGGAUGGUGUUUUUUAGGAAGAAAGCUGAUGGAGAUGAUGGAAUGGAAGAUUACUUAGAUCAACUAUCAGGAAUGCCUACGAGAUUCACUUAUGAAGAACUAAAAGCAGCAACUGCAGAUUUCCAGAAAAAGCUUGGAGAAGGAGGGUUUGGGUCAGUUUUUGAAGGAGACAAGGCCACAGGUGAGAAAAUUGCUGUGAAGCGCCUAGACUCUUUAGGCCAAGGGAAGAAGGAAUUCAUGGCAGAGGUCAAGACCAUAGGAAGCAUCCACCAUAACAACCUGGUGAGGCUAAUUGGCUUCUGUGCAGAAAAAUUGCACAGGCUCUUGGUGUAUGAGUUCAUGUGUAAUGGGUCACUGGACAAAUGGAUUUUUCAUAAAGAGCCCGAGAGACCUCCUCUAGAUUGGCAAACAAGAAGGACCAUUGUUCUAGACAUAGCAAAAGGGCUGGCCUAUCUCCAUGAAGAUUGCAGACAGAGAAUAGUUCAUUUGGAUAUUAAACCCCAAAACAUACUACUGGAUGCUGGCCUUCAUGCAAAGAUAUCCGAUUUUGGCUUGUCUAAGUUGAUUGAUAGGGAUCAAAG